AUAAUAUUCCCUCCGUCCCAAAAUUCUUGUUGUAAAUUUGUCUAGAUACGGAUGUAUCUAAUACUAGUGACUUGAUAUAUCCAUAUUUAGACAAAUGUAAGACAAAAAAUUUGGGACGGAGGGAGUACAUU
rfam:Triticum aestivum genome assembly, contig: Triticum_aestivum_CS42_TGACv1_scaffold_577161_7BL